AUUGAACGCUGGCGGCAGGUCUAACACAUGCAAGUCGAGCGGUAGAGAGGAGCUUGCUUCUCUUGAGAGCGGCGGACGGGUGAGUAAUGCCUAGGAAUCUGCCUGGUAGUGGGGGAUAACGUUCGGAAACGGACGCUAAUACCGCAUACGUCCCACGGGAGAAAGUGGGGGAUCUUCGGACCUCACGCUAUCAGAUGAGCCUAGGUCGGAUUAGCUAGUUGGUGAGGUAAAGGCUCACCAAGGCGACGAUCCGUAACUGGUCUGAGAGGAUGAUCAGUCACACUGGAACUGAGACACGGUCCAGACUCCUACGGGAGGCAGCAGUGGGGAAUAUUGGACAAUGGGCGCAAGCCUGAUCCAGCCAUGCCGCGUGUGUGAAGAAGGUCUUCGGAUUGUAAAGCACUUUAAGUUGGGAGGAAGGUCAGUAGCUUAAUACGUUGCUGAUUUGACGUUACCGACAGAAUAAGCACCGCCUAACUCUGUGCCAGCAGCCGCGGUAAUAC
rnacentral:rRNA from 1 species